rnacentral:rRNA from 1 species
GACGAACGCUGGCGGCGCGCCUAACACAUGCAAGUCGAACGAGCGAGAGAGAGCUUGCUUUCUCGAGCGAGUGGCGAACGGGUGAGUAACGCGUGAGGAACCUGCCUCAAAGAGGGGGACAACAGUUGGAAACGACUGCUAAUACCGCAUAAGCCCACGACCCGGCAUCGGGUAGAGGGAAAAGGAGCAAUCCGCUUUGAGAUGGCCUCGCGUCCGAUUAGCUAGUUGGUGAGGUAACGGCCCACCAAGGCAACGAUCGGUAGCCGGACUGAGAGGUUGAACGGCCACAUUGGGACUGAGACACGGCCCAGACUCCUACGGGAGGCAGCAGUGGGGAAUAUUGGGCAAUGGGCGCAAGCCUGACCCAGCAACGCCGCGUGAAGGAAGAAGGCUUUCGGGUUGUAAACGUUCUUUUAAGAGGGAAGAGCAGAAGACUGUACCUCUAGAAUAAGCCACGGCUAACUACGUG